rnacentral:rRNA from 1 species
UUUAGGAGGUUAGGGGCAAUAAAUCACAAUGCGGGACUAUCAGUCUUGCAAUUGGAUUGAGAACAAUGUACAACUCUUAUCGAUAAGCCAUUGGAGGGCAAGUCUGGUGCCAGCAGCCGCGGUAAUUCCAGCUCCAAUAGCGUAUAUUAACGUUGUUGCAGUUAAAAAGCUCGUAGUUGAAGUGUGGGUGAUCGCUGUUGUGAGACUUCGGUCUCUCGACAGUAAGUCACCCCCUUCCAGUAUCCAGUAGUGGGUAUUCAGUUACUUACUAUUGUGUGUUGGUCAUUUACUGUGAGAAAAUUAGAGUGUUCAAAGCAGGCGUUUGCUUGAAUAGAUUAGCAUGGAAUAAUAAUUGAAGGCUUUCGUGUUCGAUUUGAUUGGUUUGUUCAUGGAAGCAAGGUUAAAAGGAACAGUUGGGGGUAUUCAUAUCACUAGGAAUAGAAAAGCUGUCCGUC